UACGUAGGCGGUUUGUUAAGUUGGGUGUGAAAUCCCUCGGCUCAACCGAGGAACUGCGCCCAAACUGGCAGACUAGAGGGAGACAGAGGUGAGCGGAACUUAGGGUGGAGCGGUGAAAUGCGUUGAUAUCCUAAGGAACACCAGUAGCGAAAGCGGCUCACUGGGUCUCUUCUGACGCUGAGGUACGAAAGCUGGGGGAGCGAAG
rnacentral:rRNA from 1 species